rnacentral:piRNA from 1 species
UGCCACCAUAGCACCGUGACUGCUGC